rnacentral:rRNA from 1 species
GUACCGCACGAAUAAGGACCGGCUAAUUCCGUGCCAGCAGCCGCGGUAAUACGGAAGGUCCGGGCGUUAUCCGGAUUUAUUGGGUUUAAAGGGAGCGUAGGCCGCCUUUUAAGCGUGCUGUGAAAUACCGUUGCCCAACAACGGGGCUGCAGCGCGAACUGGAGGGCUUGAGUUCACGGGAAGCCGGCGGAAUUCGUCGUGUAGCGGUGAAAUGCUUAGAUAUGACGAAGAACUCCGAUUGCGAAGGCAGCCGGCUGUAGUGUUACUGACGCUGAAGCUCGAAAGUGCGGGUAUCGAACAGGAUUAGAUACCCUGGUAGUCCAUGCCGUAAACGAUGAUUACUAGGUGUUGGAGGAUUGACCCCUUCAGUGCCGCAGUUAACACAAUAAGUAAUCCACCUGGGGAGUACGACCGCAAGGUUGAAACUCAAAGGAAUUGACGGGGGCCCGCACAAGCAGUGGAGUAUGUGGUUUAAUUCGAAGCAACGCGAAGAACCUUACCAGGUCUUGACAUCCGAUGCAUAGUGCAGAGAUGCAUGAAGUCCUUCGGGACAUCGAGACAGGUGGUGCAUGGUUGUCGUCAGCUCGUGUCGUGAGAUGUUGGGUUAAGUCCCGCAACGAGCGCAACCCUUAUUGCCAGUUACUACGCAAGAGGACUCUGGCGAGACUGCCGUUGACAAAACGGAGGAAGGUGGGGAUGACGUCAAAUCAUCAUGCCCUUUAUGACCUGGGCUACACACGUACUACAAUGGCGUUUAACAAAGAGAAGCAAGACCGCGAGGUGGAGCAAAAUUCAAAAACAACGUCUCAGUUCAGAUUGCAGGCUGCAACUCGCCUGCAUGAAGUCGGAAUUGCUAGUAAUCGCGGAUCAGCAUGCCGCGGUGAAUACGUUCCCGGGCCUUGCACUCACCGCCCGUCA